GAUGAACGCUAGCUACAGGCUUAACACAUGCAAGUCGAGGGACCGGCGCACGUGUGAGUAACACGUAUCCAACCUUCCCUUUACUCGGGGAUAGCCUUUCGAAAGAAAGAUUAAUACCCGAUAUAAAGGAUGGGGAUGCGUUCCAUUAGGUUGUUGGUAAGGUACCGGCCCACCAAGCCUUCGAUGGAUAGGGGUUCUGAGAGGAAGGACCCCCACAAUGGAACAGAGACACGGUCCAAACUACUACGGGAGGAAGAAGUGAGGAAUAUUGGUCAAUGGGCGUUAGCCUGAACCAGCAAAGUAGAGUGAAGGAUGAAGGCUUAUGGGUCGUAAACUUCUUUUAUAUAAGAAUAUGUAUUAUAUGAAUAAGGAUCGGCUAACUCCGUGCCAGCAGCCGCGGUAAUAC
rnacentral:rRNA from 1 species